AAUGAGCCCUUGUAGUGGAUGUUGGCGAUAGUUGAUCCACUACAGGAGUAGGAUGUACAACAAGACGGGAUCUAUCGAUCUUGAUAGAGAGAAGUAGUCCUAUGAAAUUUGAGAGGCUAAGUCUGAGAAUCUAUGACCACAAUAGUAUGAUUAAUGAAAAUUUUUUUUAUAAAAAUCAUAAUUGGACUUAAGCUGAUGGAAUCU
rnacentral:lncRNA from 1 species